CACUUUAAUCUCACCACAUUAUACGCAAAAUGGUGGAAUGUGGUGAACCAGAUUUUGAUGUAAUCACAAUUGGAGGGCUCCAAAUGAGUAAUAAAUAGAAAAUAAUUUACCCAGUAUAUGAAUAUUGAAAAUAUUGGACCUACGCACCUGUCAACAACAUACAAUUCCGUAUAUUGUGAUGGCCGCCAUUUCGCACCUAAUAUUUGACUCUAAACCGGCCUAGGUAUUUUUUUAUCGGUAAGUAAUAAAUAGUACAUGUAAAUGUGUUGUGCAAAUAAUUUUGGAAAAAUGAUGCCUGAAUUCAAAGUUAAGUUAUUUACUUCAAUUUUUUAUAUGUUCAUUCUGCUAGGUUCCAAUAUUACGUUUUUCCUUUUGAUAUCUGCGCAAAAAGAUUCUUGAUAGUCGAUUAUAUUAUUUAUUAUUAUUUAAAUACAGGGUGUCCCAUAAGUAAUGGUAUCUUAGUCCAAAAGUUGAUAUUAACCGAGUUACAGGGUGUCAAAUUUGCAAUUUCAAUAUAGAGAAUAAUUUUAUGACCUAUGUACUUUUCGUGUAUUUGAUACACCUGUUUAAUACAAAAACGGUAUACCUCUUAAAUUUCGCCAUUUAAUAGAACAAUCUCAUGUGAACAUGUUUAAUGUAAGCUCUGACUAACAUAAUCACAAUAAAAAUACAGUAAAAUAGUGAAAAGUAGACCCUGACGAAAACAGACACCGUAAAACACUUGCAAAACUAGGCCUUGACUAAAACAAAUGCGAUCACUUCUGGUGAAUUUCUUUGUUGUUAGUCAGUCAGUAUGUAAAAACCGAAGGUCUCAGAUUUUAAUUGGACACCCUGUACAUGUCAUCGAUUUGUUGUUUUCUCAAAUUCCUUUAAAUAACUUGUAUGUAAGCGGUCUUGCUGUUUCUUUUAUUAAAAAAAAAUAUUGACUACCUUUUACAUCUGUCUCAUUCACUAUUAAUGCUGGCGUAAAAUUCAAAUCGAACGAAGAAUUUUGCUUAGAGUAAUGAGUAUCAAUAUUUACCGCGUUUAGGUAAAUACUGGUUUAACUCAUCUUAGAACUGUCGAUAGUUUGUAAACUGAAAGUUUGUAAGUCGAAGAAACGAGCUUCCAUCGAUUCCAUAGUUAAUAAUAAAGAACAGAAACAGAGAUUGUGAGACACACUCAACUGUGAUUACGACCUAUCUGUAAGUAACAGGGUAUUAUAUCCGCUUUUGUAUCACCUGGUGACACGUAGAUUUGCAUUUAUUUAGUACUUGACAAUCACUUCCAGCAAACCUUGCCCUAUAUGUAUGAUUAAAUGAAUUGAAGAACCAGCUCAUAAAAGGAAAACCUCAUAAAUGAAGUUCGACAUUGAUAUCGACAUUUUAACUGUCAUCGGUACGUAGUGGGAUCCAAUACAAAUGGAAGCAACACAGGGAAAAUUGAAGUCAUUGCAAUCAGAACUGUCCAUCCCUCGUUGCUAAUGCGAAUAUUGUGUCAAAACCAGGAGAAGAUUGCUGCGACAGACGCGUUCGUUGGAACAACGACCAGCGUAGCAGAGGGAUGCAGUGUAACCACAAGGGAAGAGAAGAUCUUGGAGUUUCCAGGAUAAUAAUUGAAGCAAAGAAGUUCCCAGAAAUUUGGACAACAACCAGCUGCUAGGAAUUUGAUAUGGUGUGGAAGGAGCAGAAGCAGAAGCUACCUGAAGAUCUGAAGUUCAAAGUUCGUACUGCAAUACGCAGAUAGUAGUGACGUUUCUCUGUUCUAUGAAACGGAAACUUAAAAAAACUGCACUUCGAGUGGAAACGACUCUUCGAUGGAGAAUACCCGGUUUUUCCGAUCACCACACCCAAGAUGAAGACGAUGUUCAGCUUAUCUUAAAACGAUAAUGUAAACCAUAAAUUUAUUGAAUAUAUUUAUUUGCUUUA